UACGUAGGGCGCAAGCGUUGUCCGGAAUUAUUGGGCGUAAAGAGCUCGUAGGCGGCCAGUUGCGUCUGCUGUGAAAUCCCGGGGCUCAACCCCGGGCGUGCAGUGGAUAGGGGCUGGCUAGAGGCAGGCAGGGGAGAACGGAAUUCCCGGUGUAGCGGUGAAAUGCGCAGAUAUCGGGAGGAACACCGGUGGCGAAGGCGGUUCUCUGGGCCUGUACUGACGCUGAGGAGCGAAAGCGUGGGGAGCGAACGGG
rnacentral:rRNA from 1 species